CGUGUAGGCGGGCAAUCGAGUCAGAUGUAAAAGGCGACGGCUUAACCGUAGUAUGUCAUCUGAUACUGGUUGUCUUGAGUUCGAGAGAGGGUGGUGGAAUUCCCGGUGUAGCGGUGAAAUGCGUAGAUAUCGGGAAGAACACCAGAAGCGAAGGCGGCCGCCUGGAUCGACACUGACGCUGAGACGCGAAAGCGUGGGUAGCAAACA
rnacentral:rRNA from 1 species